GGCUCUGUGGCGCAAUGGAUAGCGCAUUGGACUUCUAAUUCAAAGGUUGUGGGUUUGAGUCCCACCAGAGUUG